GACGAACGCUGGCGGCGUGCUUAACACAUGCAAGUCGAACGGAAAGGCCCUGCUUUUGUGGGGUGCUCGAGUGGCGAACGGGUGAGUAACACGUGAGUAACCUGCCCUUGACUUUGGGAUAACUUCAGGAAACUGGGCUAAUACCGGAUAGGAGCUCCUGCUGCAUGGUGGGGGUUGGAAAGUUUCGGCGGUUGGGGAUGGACUCGCGGCUUAUCAGCUUGGUGGUGGGGUAGUGGCUUACCAAGGCUUUGACGGGUAGCCGGCCUGAGAGGGUGACCGGCCACAUUGGGACUGAGAUACGGCCCAGACUCCUACGGGAGGCAGCAGUGGGGAAUAUUGCACAAUGGGCGGAAGCCUGAUGCAGCAACGCCGCGUGCGGGAUGACGGCCUUCGGGUUGUAAACCGCUUUCGCCUGUGACGAAGCGUGAGUGACGGUAAUGGGUAAAGAAGCACCGGCUAACUACGUG
rnacentral:rRNA from 1 species